rnacentral:rRNA from 1 species
UACGUAGGGUGCAAGCGUUGUCCGGAAUUAUUGGGCGUAAAGAGCUCGUAGGCGGUUUGUCGCGUCUGCUGUGAAAACUCGGGGCUUAACCCCGGGCCUGCAGUGGGUACGGGCAGACUAGAGUGCGGUAGGGGAGACUGGAAUUCCUGGUGUAGCGGUGAAAUGCGCAGAUAUCAGGAGGAACACCGGUGGCGAAGGCGGGUCUCUGGGCCGAUACUGACGCUGAGGAGCGAAAGCGUGGGGAGCAAACGGG